ensembl:lncRNA
GCACUUCCUGGUCCUGAUCCACUAGGCCCCUCUGUCGCCAUUUCCUUUUCCCAUGCUAGUCUUGAGAGUGUCAGAGCUCCUGCAGGGAAUGAGGCAGCAAACCUAUCUGUAUUUUGUGUUCACCUAAGCCUCUGGAUUCACAAGGCAGGGAACCCCGUGAAACCGGGAAGAGGCUUUUACCCUCAUCAACGUCCUCCAAGCCUUACAGGACCACUCCGAAUGUCCUCACUCGUCCUUUCCUCGAAGGAGCCCGAUCUGACGACCCAGUGAAAACGGGCACACAUCCGCCGCCUUUCUUUCUGCCCUAUCAGCCCGUUUUAUGUUCUUACUGUCGGUGAUCACGAUCUGAAAUUACCUCGGUAGUGUAUUUGUCCAUUUUCUGUCCCCACCCACUAGAAGGAAGGGUCCCUGAGCACAGGGCCCUUGUGUGCCCAAGUGUCCUGGGUCCCCAGGGUCUGAAACCCUGUCUGGUGAUGCGGGGACAGCGAGCUGAAGGGUCGAAAGAAAGAUUUCUUGGACUCUCAAGGGCUGGCAGUAGCGCUCUUUUGUCUAGAGAAUAGUGUGGAAUAGUGUCCCAUGGGCAUGGGACCCAUGGGCAGUAAAGAGCUGCUGCUGCUUCUGCUGCUGCGUGGGGACAGGACCCAUGGGCAGUCAGAGCUUCAGCUGCAAUGUGUUGAGGGUUAGGGCUAAAUUUAUAAGGCAUGGGGACGCGACUUAUUCGCACUGGAAAAAGAAAAGGUGAUGUAAAAUGUCAUUAAAUGGUUUCAGUGCGGAUGGGCUCUGGUUAUUGUGUGCUCCUGUAACUUUAGAUAUGAAUCUGGCCAUAGAGAUCGGCAUGUAGGCCAGGAUGCCCUGGGCUUCUCUCCCCGGGGCAGCCUUACUCCACACCGUAAAAUCCAUCAGGUCAUAGAGAUCGGCAUGUAGGACAGGUCACCUUGGGCUUCUCCACCUGGGGCAGCCUUGAUCCACAUCAUCUGCUACCUAAUGGGUGCUCAGCGACGGACUGCUUUAUGAACGGACGGAUGUAUGGAUGGCUGGAUGCAGGACGCCCUUCAAAGGGAAGCCCAAGGUGACCUGUCCUACAUGCCGAUCUCUAUGACCUGAUGGAUUUUACGGUGUGGAGUAAGGCUGCCCCGGGGAGAGAAGCCCAGGGCAUCCUGGCCUACAUGCCGAUCUCUAUGGCCAGAUUCAUAUCUAAAGU